rnacentral:rRNA from 1 species
CACGGGGGUGCGAGCGUUGUUCGGAAUUACUGGGCGUAAAGCGUGCGCAGGCGGUUUUUUAAGACAGGCGUGAAAUCCCCGGGCUCAACCUGGGAACUGCGCUUGUGACUGGAAGGCUAGAGUACGGCAGAGGGGGGUGGAAUUCCACGUGUAGCAGUGAAAUGCGUAGAGAUGUGGAGGAACACCGAUGGCGAAGGCAGCCCCCUGGGCCUGUACUGACGCUCAUGCACGAAAGCGUGGGGAGCAAACAGG